rnacentral:rRNA from 1 species
UACGGAGGGUGCGAGCGUUGUCCGGAAUCACUGGGCGUAAAGGGCGCGUGAGGCGCAUCGCAAGCGUGUGGUGAAAGCCCGGGGCUCAACCCCGGGUCGGCCGUGCGGACUGGCGUGCUCGAGCACUGUAGGGCGGGUGGAAUUCCGGGUGUAGCGGUGGAAAUGGACGCAGAUAUCAGGAGGAACACCGGUGGCGAAGGCGGAUCUCUGGGCCAUUACUGACGCUGAGGAGCGAAAGCGUGGGGAGCGAACAGG